AAUCAGCAAUUGGGGAUAUACACAUCAACCAUAUUGUGUGGUACUCUUUGUCACCUGCCAAACACAGGAAACAAUAUGAUCAAAUGGAAUCCUGCUUGCCAAAGAUACAUACCUUAAGACAGUAAGUGUUUAUUUGGCAACAUACUGAGCCAAAUUCGAUUGAAAUUUGCAGAAUGAAAAACUGUUUGGAAUGAAACAUUGGCAAGUCCAGCAGAGUAUGAGAACUACAGAAUGAAAUCCUGCCAGAACAGCUUGUUAUGGACAUUCUUGUGGAUUGCAAGAUGUUGCACAAUGGAGGGUGUUUCUGUGCCAGCAGGGAACAGGCAUCACUUAGGUUUGUGUUCUGGGGCCAGAUUGGAGUUAAGAGAUGCUGCAAGCAACAAUUGAAACCUGUGCUAUGUAUUUUAUUCAGACUAGAACAAAACCUAUAAGUUUUGUGUAAAAGGGCUUAGAAGGUAGUAAAGUGUUACAGAAUAGUGCUGUGUGUCUGAAAGUCAAGCCUAUGAUUGGAUAAUGUUCUCCUUUUAGAAAUAUAUAGUUUAAUCAGUGGUAGCAGGUAGUGAUACUGAAAUCAGCUUGAAAGUAAACUUUCUAACACAAUUUGAAGUAUUAGUAUGUAGGAAUUCUUUAUUACAGUGCUGGACACCUUCAGAGGAUUUUUCCUCUAAUCCAAUGUGUGUCAUGAAUCUGCACAACAAUGUGUUUAUUCCAUCAUGAUCAUACAUAUUCAUUAAAAAGUACUUCCUAGUUAAUACAUAAACUUCAUUCCUCCUGGAAUCAACUUACAGGCCUCCACCCUUACUAGAAGUCCUUUAAUGGUCAUUGAGUGUUAUCUAAAGGGGCCUCUAGUGGUCAUAUUCACUGAGUGCCCCCAAUAUUGUAAACCUUGCCUAGAACUCCUCUGAGGGCUUGUGUCAUUGUUUCUUGUUCCAUAACUUUGCCACAAAACCUACUAGGUUCCUCAUUAUCAUUUUAUCCAUUGGUUCUAGUAUCCUAUAUGCCUACUUUUACAUUCUUUUAUCGAAUUUUCUAGUUAGCCUUUAAGCUAUAUUUUGCAACUUCAAGGGAACUGAAAAUUUCCAUUCUUUGUGCUGUCUGUAAGUAGUUUCCCCUCUGGAUAAACCUAGAAAAUGUUUCCUUUUCUUUCCUGGAGCCUUUCUUUGUGGAAUUUAUUUACACAGUAAUCUGAUGUCUUAGAAACAGACAUGGAAAGAAAGCACAUGCUGUGUUGCACCUUUAAAGUGAAUAGUAUGACAUCUAGGGCAUAGAGAAGUAGAUCCUAUAACAUUUUUACUCACCUGAAUAACCCUUAUUCCAGCAGACCCAAAAGGAUGUAAGGCUGUUCUGUGUCCGAUAGAAGAUCUGUCUAGAUGCCACUAUCUAGGAACAGGCAGUGGUUUUAAGUUACUGUCCUGGGUGAGGAAGAACAAAACAAGAAUCCAGUGCUUCUCCCUAACACUCCUGUUUUCAGCUAAGGAGCCUGCCUGAGCUGGAUAUGGUUUCUGCAUACUUAGAAAUUCUCAGUGUUUCCUUUCUCCAGAUUCUUGUUCAGUCUUUGAAAUAAAACAAAACUUUUAGCAUCCACAAUAUUCUGUGGCAAGGAUUUCUAAAGUUUGCUACUAUACUGUGUGAAAACGCGCUUCUCUUUGGCUUGUUACUUAUUAACAUUGUUAGAUGGCUGCUGAAAGAGAUGGUGAAAUAUGUUUUUUGUUCACUCUUAUGCCAUAUAUGAUUUUUUAGACUUUGAAUAUUUUGCUGUAAAUUAUGUUGUAUCUAGACUGAAGGGUCUUAGAUUACUUUGCUAUUCCUCAUACAGCUUCCAUUGUACCGUAUCUUUGUUCCUCUCUUCUUUUCCUACUUGGAAACUUUUUCAGAUCUAUAUAUCCUCUUUGAAUAGAGGGGACUAGAGCUACAACAGUUUUAGUGUCACAAAACCUUGCAUUAUUCUCAUAAUUCCACAUGAUCUGCUUUAUUCUUCGUAUUAUAACUAAUGUCUAAUAUUUCAUUUACUGUGGGGACUUCUCUCAAGCUGAGUUCCCAUGGAUUAGUGUGCCAUAACCUUGAGAUUGUCAUGUUUUAAUGGUACAGUACUGGGCAGCUCCAAACUGUUCAUUUUGGUGUGACAUUCGGUUUGUAUGCAAGUUAAUGUACUUUUGUCUUUAUUGGAUUUCAUUUGAUAUUGUUGUCACACAGUUUUGCAGGGUCCUUCUGCAGUUCAUGCACAGUCAGCUGUUGCAGUUUUUAUAUCAGUCAUGGCUGACGUCUACACCUCAUGGCUCACUCUUUUUCCCCAUUCACAUUUUUUAUAAUGAAAUAUUGUAGGUUCCAGAAGAGGUUCUGCAAUGGAAUCCAACAGAACUCCAUCUGGAGCCUCCACUAAUUGCAAGAAACUAAUUGUUACUUAAUAAAGAAGUAACUGAUUACUCCUAA